rnacentral:rRNA from 1 species
UUUCGAAUCAUUCACAAUGGGCGAAAGCCUGAUGGUGCGACGCCGCGUGAGGGAUGAAGGUCUUCGGAUUGUAAACCUCUGUCACUGGGGAAGAAACGCUAUCGUUUAACAGACGGUAGCCUGACUUAACCCGGAGAGGAAGCAGUGGCUAACUCUGUGCCAGCAGCCGCGGUAAUACAGAGACUGCAAGCGUUAUUCGGAUUCACUGGGCGUAAAGGGUGCGCAGGCGGCCAAGUGUGUCAGAUGUGAAAUCUCGGGGCUUAACCCCGAAACUGCGUCUGAAACUGCUUGGCUAGAGUAUCGGAGAGGGAAGUGGAAUUCACGGUGUAGCAGUGAAAUGCGUAGAUAUCGUGAGGAACACCAAUGGCGAAGGCAACUUCCUGGACGAUUACUGACGCUC